CUUCGGAUCUAGUGGCGCACGGGUGCGUAACGCGUGGGAAUCUGCCCUUGGGUUCGGAAUAACUUCUGGAAACGGAAGCUAAUACCGGAUGAUGACGUAAGUCCAAAGAUUUAUCGCCCAAGGAUGAGCCCGCGUAGGAUUAGCUAGUUGGUGGGGUAAAGGCUCACCAAGGCGGCGAUCCUUAGCUGGUCUGAGAGGAUGAUCAGCCACACUGAGACUGAGACACGGCCCAGACUCCUACGGGAGGCAGCAGUAGGGAAUAUUGGACAAUGGGCGAAAGCCUGAUCCAGCAAUGCCGCGUGAGUGAUGAAGGCCUUAGGGUUGUAAAGCUCUUUUACCCGGGAUGAUAAUGACAGUACCGGGAGAAUAAGCUCCGGCUAACUCCGUGCCAGCAGCCGCGGUAAUACGGAGGGAGCUAGCGUUGUUCGGAAUUACUGGGCGUAAAGCGCACGUAGGCGGCUAUUCAAGUCAGAGGCGAAAGCCCGGGGCUCAACCCCGGAACUGCCUUUGAAACUAGAUAGCUUGAGUCCAGGAGAGGUGAGUGGAAUUCCGAGUGUAGAGGUGAAAUUCGUAGAUAUUCGGAAGAACACCAGUGGCGAAGGCGGCUCACUGGACUGGUAUUGACGCUGAGGUGCGAAAGCGUGGGGAGCAAGCAGGAUUAGAUACCCUGGUAGUACACGCCGUAAACGAUGAUAACUAGCUGUCAGGGCACAUGGUGUUUUGGUGGCGCAGCUAACGCAUUAAGUUAUCCGCCUGGGGAGUACGGUCGCAAGAUUAAAACUCAAAGGAAUUGACGGGGGCCUGCACAAGCGGUGGAGCAUGUGGUUUAAUUCGAAGCAACGCGCA
rnacentral:rRNA from 1 species